rnacentral:lncRNA from 1 species
AUCAAAUAUACAGCCUGGGUGUAGAGACCAAGAACAGCGGUACCAAACUUGCUACACCCUAGAAGAAGGUGAGAAAACAGUGUGCAUAGACAACCUUAUUUUUUAUCCAUUUUUAUCUAGAAUAUACAGCCUGGGUGUAGAGACCGGGAACAGUGGUACCAAGCUUGCUCCUCUCUAGAAGAAGAUGGGGAAACUGAGGCUGAGAGGUCAAGCAUCAAGGAUUCAAACAAAGAUCGUCUGACUCCAGACCUUUGGGCUUACACAGAAGUGGCAUUUACAGGUUCAGUGAGUGUUCC